GAGAGAGAGAGAGAGAGAGAGCCUGAUUCAAUUUUGAAUUUCAAAUUAACGUUUCUCUCUCUUUAGAAAGAGCUAUAGCCGUUGCGGUGCGGCCAACCACCGCCUCCCUGAGAUUGUAGAGACGCGUCGGGAAAACGCGAAUUGUUCGAACAAUUUGUUCUUUUGUUUCAAUCCUCUGCCUUUGAAAGAGUUGAAUCUGGUCCCUUCUUGAGGUUUGCCACCUCCUUAUUAUCGAUCUAUGAUAUGAUGCAAUCUGGAUUAGAAAAACCAGAUGAUGAAAAUUGUGAUGUUGAUUCGGCAUAUCCCAAUUAUCGUAAUUUGUGGGUCAUAUAUGAAAUUGCAAUCAAAUUAUUGGUGCUCCCUCAUUUGUUGGGGUUGAGGAACCAUUUUUUGAUUGUGAUUCUGGUGGGAAAUCGAGCAUUUAAGAGGGAUAUGCUGUUUCAUUACCAUCACAGUUUUCUUAUCUGGUGAUGCUGGCAUGAUUUGUGUAGCCUUGAUAUUGGUAUUGAUCGGAUAUGUUGCCCCUGAGUCCCUGACCCGAGAUUAAUAAACACGUAACAAUUGUGUCCAAUUGGUAGCCUUGAUGUUUUUGGAAAUGUUGGGCCUGGGUCUCUGACCAGAGAAUCAAAACAAGGUUACCAUUGUGUCCAAUUAGUAUUUUGGAUAUAUUGUGCCUCAGUCCCUGACCCAAGAAUCAAAACAAGGUUACCAUCGUCUCCAAUUGGUAGCCUCGAUGUUUUCAGAUAUAUUGUGCCUCAGUCCCUGACCCGAGAAUCAAAACAAGGUUACCAUUGUGUCCAAUUGGUAGCCUAGAUAUUUUCGGAUAUGUUGUGCCUUAGUCCCUGACCCGAGAAUCAAAACAAGGUUACCAUCGUCUCCAAUUGGUAGCCUCGAUGUUUUCAGAUAUAUUGUGCCUCAGUCCCUGACCCGAGAAUCAAAACAAGGUUACCAUUGUCUCCAAUUGGUAGCCUCGAUGUUUUCAGAUAUAUUGUGCCUCAGUCCCUGACCCGAGAAUCAAAACAAGGUUACCAUUGUGUCCAAUUGGUAGCCUAGAUAUUUUCGGA